GACGGGGGGGGCAAGCGUGUUCGGAAUUAUUGGGCGUAAAGAGCUCGUAGGCGGUCUGUCGCGUCGGUCGUGAAAACUUGGGGCUUGACCCUGAGCUUGCGGUCGAUACGGGGCAGGCUAGAGUUCGGUAGGGGAGACUGGAAUUCCUGGUGUAGCGGUGGAAAUGCGCAGAUAUCAGGAGGAACACCGGUGGCGAAGGCGGGUCUCUGGGGCCAACUACUGACGCUGGAGAAGCGGAAAAGCAUGGGGGAGCGAAACAGGG
rnacentral:rRNA from 1 species